CGCAUCUUGCGCUCCUUGGUAUUCCGAGGAGCAUGCCUGUUUGAGUGUCAUUAAAUUCUCAACCUUAUUAGCUUUUGCGACCUAAGGCUUGGAUGUGGGGGAUUGCUGCUGGCUUCUCACGAGGUCGGCUCCCCUGAAAUGCAUUAGCGGUACCCUGGUGGAAUCGAAUAUCAGUGUGAUAAUAUCUACGCUGUUAAUUCAUCCACACUACAAAGGGCUUUGCUGCUUCAAGUCGUCUAGUUUCUGGACAAUCAUAUGACAUUUUUGACCUCAAAUCAGGUAGGACUACCCGCUGAACUUAA
rnacentral:misc_RNA from 1 species